rnacentral:rRNA from 1 species
AUUGAACGCUGGCGGCAGGCCUAACACAUGGAAGUCGAGCGAGCGGCGGACGGGUGAGUAAUGUAUGGGGACUGCCCGAUAGAGGGGGAUAACUACUGGAAACGGGGGCUAAUACCGAAUACUGUCGGAUAACCCAUAUGGGAUUAGCUAGUAGGUAAGGUAAUGGCUUCCCUAGGCGACGAUCCCUAGCUGGGCUGAGAGGAUUAUCAGCCAGCCUGGGACUGAGACACGGCCCAGACUCCUACGGAGGCAGCGGUGGGGAAUAUUGCACAAUGGGCGCAAGCGUGAUGCAGCCAUGCCGCGUGUAUGAAGAAGGCCCUAGGGUUGUAAAGUACUUUCGGUCGGGAGGCGUUACCGACAGAAGAAGCACCGGCUAACUCCGUGUCAGCAGCCGCGGUAAUAC